CAGUAGCCGCGGUAAUACGUAGGUGGCAAGCGUUGUCCGGAAUUAUUGGGCGUAAAGGGCUCGCAGGCGGUUUCUUAAGUCUGAUGUGAAAGCCCCCGGCUCAACCGGGGAGGGUCAUUGGAAACUGGGAAACUUGAGUGCAGAAGAGGAGAGUGGAAUUCCACGUGUAGCGGUGAAAUGCGUAGAGAUGUGGAGGAACACCAGUGGCGAAGGCGACUCUCUGGCCUGUAACUGACGCUGAGGAGCGAAAGCGUGGGGAGCGAACAGGAUUAGAUACCCCCGUAGUCCCUGUCUCUUAUAC
rnacentral:rRNA from 1 species